rnacentral:rRNA from 1 species
AGUGAACGCUGGCGAUAGGCCUAACACAUGCAAGUCGAACGGCAGCACAGUAAGAGCUUGCUCUUACGGGUGGCGAGUGGCGGACGGGUGAGGAAUUCAUCGGAAUCUACUUUUUCGUGGGGGAUAACGUAGGGAAACUUACGCUAAUACCGCAUACGACCUACGGGUGAAAGCAGGGGAUCUUCGGACCUUGCGCGAUUGAAUGAGCCGAUGUCGGAUUAGCUAGUUGGCGGGGUAAAGGCCCACCAAGGCGACGAUCCGUAGCUGGUCUGAGAGGAUGAUCAGCCACACUGGAACUGAGACACGGUCCAGACUCCUACGGGAGGCAGCAGUGGGGAAUAUUGGACAAUGGGCGCAAGCCUGAUCCAGCCAUACCGCGUGGGUGAAGAAGGCCUUCGGGUUGUAAAGCCCUUUUGUUGGGAAAGAAAAGCAGCAGGUUAAUACCCCGCUGUUCUGACGGUACCCAAAGAAUAAGCACCGGCUAACUUCGUG